rnacentral:rRNA from 1 species
CCAGCUCCAAUAGCGUAUAUUAAAGUUGUUGCAGUUAAAAAGCUCGUAGUCGAACUUCUGGUUGGCGUGUGCGAGGCUUCGGUCUUUCUCACGUGCAGCCAUCCUCCUGAGAACCACCGAGGCCUUAACUGGUCAUCGAUGGGUAUCAGGAACUUUACUUUGAAAAAAUUAGAGUGUUUCAGGCAGGCGAUUGCCCGAAUACAUUAGCAUGGAAUAAUGGAAUAGGACUUUGGUCCAUUUUGUUGGUUAUUGGCCAAAGUAAUGAUUAAUAGGGACAGUUGGGGGCAUUAGUAUUUAAUUGUCAGAGGUGAAAUUCUUGGAUUUAUUAAAGACUAACUAAUGCGAAAGCAUUUGCCAAGGAUGUUUUCA